CGUCAUCACAGGCAUCACAGGCAUCACAGGCAGCUCAGGCAUCACAGGCAUCACAGGCAUCACAGGCAUCACAGGCAUCAUCACAGGCGUCACAGGCAUCACAGGCAUCACAGGCAUCAUCACAGGCAUCACAGGCGUCACAGGUGUCACAGGCAUCACAGGCAGCUCAGGCAUCACAGGCAUCACAGGCAUCACAGGCAUCAUCACAGGCGUCACAGGCGUCACAGGUGUCACAGGCAUCACAGGCAGCUCAGGCAUCACAGGCAUUAC
rnacentral:lncRNA from 1 species